rnacentral:lncRNA from 1 species
UCCACCAAACCACCGCUUCCCCUGGUUGCCGGCCUGUGAACAAAGAACUGCCAUUUUCUUCUUUUUGCCCUGUGUUCGUCAUGCACCUUACUUCCUGAUGAAGCUGGAGGCCUUUUGCAUCCUCAAUGUCAAGCGUCAUCAAGAGAUUGGAUAUAGUUCCCUGGCAACUCUACUUGUAGUUUUUUGAGGAAGCUCCCUACUGUUUCCCACAGUGGCUGCACCAACUUACAUUCCCGUCAACAGUGGAAGAGGGUUCCCUUUUCUCUACACUCUUCCCAGCAUU